UCGCACCUACCGAUUGAAUGAUUCGGUGAAACUCUCGGACCGUAGCGCGGACACCUUCGGGUGACCAAGCUGUGGGAAGUUAUUUAAACCUCAUCAUUUAGAGGAAGGUG
rnacentral:rRNA from 1 species